rnacentral:rRNA from 1 species
AGUGAACGCUGGCGGUAGGCCUAACACAUGCAAGUCGAACGGCAGCACAGGAGAGCUUGCUCUCUGGGUGGCGAGUGGCGGACGGGUGAGGAAUACAUCGGAAUCUACUAUGUCAUGGGGGAUAACGUAGGGAGACUUACGCUAAUACCGCAUACGAACUACGGGUGAAAGCAGGGGACCUUCGGGCCUUGCGCGAUUGAAUGAGCCGAUGUCGGAUUAGCUAGUUGGCGGGGUAAAGGCCCACCAAGGCGACGAUCCGUAGCUGGUCUGAGAGGAUGAUCAGCCACACUGGAACUAAGACACGGGCCAGAAUCCUACGGGAUGCAGCAGUGGGGAAUAUUGGACAAUGGGCGCAAGCCUGAUCCAGCCAUACCGCGUGGGUGAAGAAGGCCUUCGGGUUGUAAAGCCCUUUUGUUGGGAAAGAAAUCCAGCUGGCUAAUACCCGGUUGGGAUGACGGUACCCAAAGAAUAAGCACCGUCUAACUUCGUGCCAGCCGCCGCCGUAA